rnacentral:tRNA from 1 species
GCGCGAUUGGCGCAAGCGGUAGCGCGCUUCCCUGACACGGAAGAGGUCACUGGUUCGAUCCCAGUAUCGCGCA